rnacentral:lncRNA from 1 species
GGGGGUAAAAACCUGGAUAUGGGCGACCCUGUAUAUAUAGUGCCCCCCGACGGUCGAGAUGAAGGCACGACCAACGAGGAAUUCCCAGAUCAUGCCAUGUGGCACCAUCCGGAUCGUUCGUUGGUCCGACGGUUCGACGCACCCAUCCUCAGAUCGAGCCACGUCACCUCCAUCCGCUCCAACGGAUCUGUCCCAAUGAGCACCUGCCACGUGGCACAGAGGCCGUGACAUUUCGUAUCCCCGAAGGGGCGGCGGGAACGACGGUUUUUUUUCCCGAUGGGAAGAGACGUCUGGCGCCGACGGGAUAG